ACGAACGCUGGCGGCGUGCUUAACACAUGCAAGUCGAACGAGGUCCAGCCAAUCUUCGGAGAGGCGAAGACCUAGUGGCGAACGGGUGCGUAACACGUGAGAAACCUGCCCCAGACUUGGGAAUAACAGUCGGAAACGACUGCUAAUACCGAAUACCUUCGGAGCGUCGCAUGGCGCACCGAAGAAAGCUUUUGCGGUUUGGGAGGGUCUCGCGGCCUAUCAGCUAGUUGGUGAGGUAACGGCUCACCAAGGCAUCGACGGGUAGCUGGUCUGAGAGGAUGAUCAGCCACACUGGGACUGAGACACGGCCCAGACUCCUACGGGAGGCAGCAGUGGGGAAUCUUGCACAAUGGGCGAAAGCCUGAUGCAGCAACGCCGCGUGCGGGAAGAAGGCCUUAGGGUUGUAAACCGCUUUCAGCAGGGAAGAAAAUGACGGUACCUGCAGAAGAAGGUGCGGCCAACUACGU
rnacentral:rRNA from 1 species